rnacentral:tRNA from 1 species
GGAGAGGUGGCCGAGUGGCUGAAGGCGGCGGUUUGCUAAACCGUUAUAGGGGC